CGCUACGCCAUCGCCAUCGGAUCCACCCCUAACUUCCCUGGCCACCGGAGAGCGCCAACAGCUGCAGAUCAAUAGAUCAUCCCUAAGGUAUAUACGUUAUACAAGGGAUAUGCCUCGAGUGGGGGACCCGGAUGGAAAUUGUUUACCAAGAGUUCUUGCAGAGAUUGCAUACUGCUACAGCAUCUACCGUUUUAAUCAAGACCACUGCGUUGCCUUACUAUAUUUAAACUCAUUCUGGGGCUGUUUAGUAACAGGAAUCAGUUAUGUGGCAUUGAACACUGUAUUUUUAGUCCUAGAUAAGAUGGAUGCACCCGAUGCACGGCCAUGGAAUAGAGGAAGAUAAGAUAUAUGAUGACGCAUGCAACACUUAAUUUUUCAGUUUAGGUUGAACCUUAAUAGUUAAUAUAUGCAUCAUUGCAUUCUAGUGUAGGACAAUUAUUUUUUUUACUUAAAUUGUUUUAGUUGAAAUUUGAAGCUUGUGUAUAUAUACAAAUAUGCUUUAUACAAGCUAGACCUAUUGAAAGUAAAUGAAGUUUCGACUCAAUUGGUUCGAAUGCAUUGCACCUCCAUCGUUGGACCGGAGGUCGCACCCGCAUAGCAAGCGGCUCCGGAGUCCGUACUUACUCCGCUCGCGUGGCCCGGCAACAUGUAGCGUAAUAGUGGCCAAGAUAUCAGGCGCGUAACUGCACGGCGCAAGAAAAGAAAGAAAAAAAGAGUACGCAGCCGUGCGAGAAAGAAGAUGCACCGAACAGAACGAAUCGUUCCCGUCGCCUCCACCGUCCGCCGGACCCCGCCUCCCAUCCGUCUCCGCCGCCGUCCGCCGGACCCCGACUCCCAUCCAUCUCCGUCGCUGGCCCUCUGCCGCCCACGGCCGGCCUCGCCUCCCAUCCGACUCGGCCGCCGGUCCUCCGCCGUCGGCCUCGUCUCCCAUCGGUCUCCGUCGCCGGCUGCGUCUCCCAUCCGCCGCCGGAUCCGCCUCCACAAGUCGGCCCUCCAACAGAUCUACAUCCAUCCCGCGGCGGCGGCCGCUGCCCACAUCCGCCACCGCCAUUGCACAUCUGCACUAGUGAAAGUGCAAGAAACAAGAGGCAUCCAUAUUUGAAAGUGCAAGAAACAUCCGCCACCGGAUCUGCAUCAACAAAUCACACAUGUAUGGGAGACAUGAUCCCAUUAGACUGCCAUAACCUACUCAAGCUCAGGCACCACAUCUACAGGAAAAUAUUAAUGAUUAUAGACAAAAGAUUGUUGCUAUCUUAUAUCUGUCGCCUGCAAACAAGAUAGGACCUUCAAACCAAGCAAAUAAUAGUGCUCAAAACUCCGUCGAAAUAUAAUGAUGACAGUAGUAGGCAUACCUAUAGUACAGUUAUAUGUGUAUUUAGUUUCGGACGGUUAAUUUUUAAGUAUUUCUAUUAUACUUAUUUCAAAUACACAGAGUGAGUUGCAACUAAUGCCUUCAAAUAAUAGUAAUUAGUGUUUACUAUUUUCCGGCGUACAACAACUACACAGACCAUGUGAGGGAAGUAAAUGUGUUGGUGUUAAUUACGGCCUGGAUUUCUCCAGGAAUCGGGAUACAUGGUCUGCAUGACGUAAUCAGCCAAUUGAUUGAGCUAGGGACUACAG